AGGGGAAUAUUGGAUAACGGGCGCAAGCCUGAUCCAGCCAUGCUGCGUGAGUGAUGAAGGCCCUAGGGUUGUAAAGCUCUUUAACCGGUGAAGAUAAUGACGGUAACCGGAGAAGAAGCCCCGGCUAACUUCGUGCCAGCAGCCGCGGUAAUACGAAGGGGCCUAGCGUUGUUCGGAUUUACUGGGCGUAAAGCGCACGUAGGCGGACUAUUAAGUCAGGGGUGAAAUCCCGGGGCUCAACCCCGGAACUGCCUUUGAUACUGGUAGUUUUGAGUUCGAGAGAGGUGAGUGUAAAUCCGGUUGUAGAGGUGAAAUUCGAAGAUAUUCGGAGGAACACCAGUGGCGAAGGCGGCUCACUGGCUCGAUACUGACGCUGAGGUGCGAAAGCGUGGGGAGCAAACAGG
rnacentral:rRNA from 1 species